rnacentral:rRNA from 1 species
CUACGGGUCGCACCAGUGGGGAAUAUUGCGCAAUGGGCGAAAGCCUGACGCAGCAACGCCGUGUGAGGGAUGAAGGCUUUCGGGUCGUAAACCUCUGUCGGAAGGGAAGAACGGGCAUUGGUCUAAUAGGCCUUUGUUUUGACGGUACCUUUAGAGGAAGCACCGGCUAACUCCGUGCCAGCAGCCGCGGUAAUACGGAGGGUGCAAGCGUUAUUCGGAAUUACUGGGCGUAAAGCGCACGUAGGCCGUUUUGUAAGUCAGGGGUGAAAUCCCACGGCUCAACCGUGGAACUGCCUUUGAAACUGCAUGACUUGAAUCCUGGAGAGGGUGGCGGAAUUCCUGGUGUAGGAGUGAAAUCCGUAGAUAUCAGGAGGAACACCGGUGGCGAAGGCGGCCACCUGGACAGGUAUUGACGCUGAGGUGCGAAAGUGUGGGGAGCAAACAGGAUUAGAUACCCUUGUAGUC